UACGUAGGGAGCAAGCGUUGUCCGGAAUCAUUGGGCGUAAAGCGCGCGUAGGUGGCUUCGUAAGUCCGUUGUGAAAGUCAAAGGCUCAACCUUUGAAAGCCGGUGGAUACUGUGGGACUAGAGUACGGAAGAGGCGAGUGGAAUUCCUGGUGUAGCGGUGGAAUGCGCAGAUAUCAGGAGGAACACCAAUAGCGAAGGCAGCUCGCUGGGACGUUACUGACACUGAGGCGCGAAAGCGUGGGGAGCGAACAGG
rnacentral:rRNA from 1 species